CUAUGGUCUAUCAGCUUGUUGGUGGGGUAAAUGGCCUACCAAGGCGACGACGGAUAGCGGGUGUGAGAGCAUGACCCGUCUCACUGGGACUGAGACACUGCCCAGACUCCUACGGGAGGCUGCAGUCAAGAAUCUUCCUCAAUGACCGAAAGGUUGAAGGAGCGACGCCGCGUGCAGGAAGAAGCUUUUCGGAGUGUAAACUGCUUUUAUUAGGGACGAAAUUUUUUGACGGUACCUAAUGAAUAAGGGGCUGCUAACCUCGUGCCAGCAGCAGCGGUAAUACGAGGGCCCCAAGCGUUAUCCGGAUUUAUUGGGUGUAAAGGGUCCGCAGGCGGCUUAUUGCAUCUCCUGUUAAAUCUUCGGGCUCAACCCGGAGGCCGCGGGAGAGAUGAAUAAGCUAGAGAUCGGAAGAGGCAAAUGGAAUUGCUGGUGUAGGGGUUAAAUCCGUUAAUAUCAGCAGGAAUGCCAAAAGUGAAGGCAAUUUGCUAGGACGAAUCUGACGCUCAAGGACGAAAGCGUGGGGAGCGAAGAGGAUUAGAUACCCUCGUAGUCCACGCUGUAAACGCUGGAUGCUAAGCAUUGGAAGUAUCGACCCUUUCAGUGCUGUUAAUUCAAGGUAACCCGUUAAGCAUCCCGCCUGGGGAGUACGAGCGCAAGCUUAAAACUCAAAGGAAUAGACGGGGACCCGCACAAGCGGUGGAGCAUGUGGUUUAAUUCGAUGAUAAGCGAGGAACCUCACCAAGGUUUGACAUCUAGCUGCACGCCCUGGAAACAGGGAAGCCUUCGAGGGUGCUAGACAGAUGCUGCAUGGUUGCCGUCAGCUCGUGUCGUGAGAUGUACCGUUUAGUCGGAAAACGAGCGCAACCCUUUUCUAUGUUU
rnacentral:rRNA from 1 species